rnacentral:rRNA from 1 species
UACGUAGGGUGCGAGCGUUAAUCGGAAUUACUGGGCGUAAAGCGUGCGCAGGCGGUUUUGUAAGCCAGAUGUGAAAUCCUCGGGCUCAACCUGGGAAUGGCAUUUGGGACUGCAAGGCUUGAGUGCGGCAGAGGAGACUGGAAUUCCUGGUGUAGCAGUGAAAUGCGUAGAUAUCAGGAGGAAUACCGAUGGCGAAGGCAGGUCUCUGGGCUGACACUGACGCUCAUGCACGAAAGCGUGGGGAGCAAACAGG